rnacentral:rRNA from 1 species
AACGAACGCUGGCGGCAGGCCUAACACAUGCAAGUCGAACGAUAUAGUGGCAGACGGGUGAGCAACGCGUGGGAACGUACCUUUCGCUACGGAAUAGCUCCGGGAAACUGGUGGUAAUACCGUAUACGCCCUUAGGGGAAGAUUUAUCGGCGAAAGAUCGGCCCGCGUUAGAUUAGGUAGUUGGUGGGGUAAUGGCCUACCAAGCCUACGAUCUAUAGCUGGUCUGAGAGGAUGAUCAGCCACACUGGGACUGAGACACGGCCCAGACUCCUACGGGAGGCAGCAGUGGGGAAUCUUGCACAAUGGGCGAAAGCCUGAUGCAGCCAUGCCGCGUGAAUGAUGAAGGCCUUAGGGUUGUAAAAUUCUUUCGCUAGGGAUGAUAAUGACAGUACCUAGUAAAGAAGCCCCGGCUAACUUCGUG